CCACGGGCAAUCAGAACAUCUUUAGUCAAUGUGCUUCCAGGCUAACAGAAGGCAGCAAUGUUUUGUAUCUGGCUUUUACCAAGCGUCCAUCUUUAGUACUGAGUAGGACUUGCAUGGAGGCAGUGGAUGCAUGCUUGUGUUUAUCUCAGCCUUUAGCAUCAGUCUGGAUACAGGAGGAACUCAAUCAGCUACUGAUGACUCCACUGAUUAUGGGCUUUCUCAAGCUGCCUUUAUGAAGAACAGGAAGACAAGAUGGUCGGCUCUUAUCCCUGAAGAGGAACUUGAUCCUGAUGGAAACAUCCUAAUGGAAAAUGUGGGUUGGGAUGGGAGCCCGUGAUGAAGUGGCAGCUUGGCCUCACCACAAGUCAUUCCAGUGACAUGCGUCACAGUGCCUUCCAGCUCCAAAUUUUCAGAAAUAGUUUUGCAUAUGGAAAAAUAUGAGGUGACAUAAAAUGGUAACAAAGGUUCUACAUUUCUAUUGACUCUUCAACCACAUGUCAAUUAGGGCCAAUAUUUAGAACAUACUGGAUCUUCUGAAAGCGUGAGAAAGGAAGGUGCAUUUCCUUGCUCUCCUUGCAAAAUAUACAUAGCUACGCAUUUGAUUUUUAUUGGGAAUGUAAUCAACAGAAUAUUUUAAUAAAAAAUGUGAAAGCAGGCAGAAAAUUUUCAUAUACAACAUAUAUAUAUAAUAUAUAUAUGUAGAAAAUGUACUUUAUUAUCAGCCAUUUCAAUUACCAUGGACUCUAAAUGUUAUGAGUUUAAUUAAAUAAAGAUGAGUUUUAAAAAUAAAGAAAUGUACACAUUCAGCAU
rnacentral:lncRNA from 10 species